GAUGAACGCUGGCGGCGUGCCUAAUACAUGCAAGUCGAGCGAAUGGAUUAAGAGCUUGCUCUUAUGAAGUUAGCGGCGGACGGGUGAGUAACACGUGGGUAACCUGCCCAUAAGACUGGGAUAACUCCGGGAAACCGGGGCUAAUACCGGAUAACAUUUUGAGCCGCAUGGUUCGAAAUUGAAAGGCGGCUUCGGCUGUCACUUAUGGAUGGACCCGCGUCGCAUUAGCUAGUUGGUGAGGUAACGGCUCACCAAGGCAACGAUGCGUAGCCGACCUGAGAGGGUGAUCGGCCACACUGGGACUGAGACACGGCCCAGACUCCUACGGGAGGCAGCAGUAGGGAAUCUUCCGCAAUGGACGAAAGUCUGACGGAGCAACGCCGCGUGAGUGAUGAAGGCUUUCGGGUCGUAAAACUCUGUUGUUAGGGAAGAACAAGUGCUAGUUGAAUAAGCUGGCACCUUGACGGUACCUAACCAGAAAGCCACGGCUAACUACGUGCCAGCCGCCGCUGUAACAC
rnacentral:rRNA from 1 species